rnacentral:rRNA from 1 species
CCUACGGGAGGCAGCAGUGAGGAAUAUUGGUCAAUGGACGAGAGUCUGAACCAGCCAAGUAGCGUGAAGGAUGACUGCCCUAUGGGUUGUAAACUUCUUUUAUAUGGGAAUAAAAUGUUCAAAGUGUGGGAUUUUGUAUGUACCAUAUGAAUAAGGAUCGGCUAACUCAGUGCCAGCAGCCCCGGUAAGACGGCGGAUCGGAGCGUUAUUCGGAUUUAUUGGGUUUAAAGGGAGCGUAGGGGGAUUGUUAAGUCAGGUGUGAAAGUUUGGGGCUCAACCGUAACAUUGCAUUUGAAACUAGCAGUCUUGAGUACAGUAGAGGUAGGCGGAAUUCGAGGUGUAGCGGUGAAAUGCUUAGAUAUCACGAAGAACUCCGAUUGCGAAGGCAGCUCACUGGACUGCAACUGACACUGAGGCUCGAAAGUGUGGGGAUCAAACAGGAUUAGAUACCCUGGUAGUC